rnacentral:rRNA from 1 species
UACGUAGGUGGCAAGCGUUGUCCGGAUUUACUGGGCGUAAAGAGCGCGCAGGCGGUCGUUCAAGUCGCGUGUGAAAGCCCCCGGCUCAACUGGGGAGGGUCACGCGAUACUGAUCGACUCGAAGGCAGGAGAGGGUAGUGGAAUUCCCGGUGUAGUGGUGAAAUGCGUAGAUAUCGGGAGGAUCACCAGUGGCGAAGGCGACUACCUGGCCUGUUCUUGACGCUGAGGCGCGAAAGCUAGGGGAGCAAACGGG